rnacentral:rRNA from 1 species
GUAGUCCACGCCGUAAACGAUGUCGACUUGGAGGUUGUGCCCUUGAGGCGUGGCUUCCGGAGCUAACGCGUUAAGUCGACCGCCUGGGGAGUACGGCCGCAAGGUUAAAACUCAAAUGAAUUGACGGGGGCCCGCACAAGCGGUGGAGCAUGUGGAUUAAUUCGAUGCAACGCGAAGAACCUUACCUGGGUUUGACAUGCACAGGAUUGCGGCAGAGAUGUCGUUUCCCUUGUGGCCUGUGUGCAGGUGGUGCAUGGCUGUCGUCAGCUCGUGUCGUGAGACGUUGGGUUAAGUCCCGCAACGAGCGCAACCCUUGUUCCAUGUUGCCAGCACGUAAUGGUGGGGACUCAUGGGAGACUGCCGGGGUCAACUCGGAGGAAGGUGGGGAUGACGUCAAGUCAUCAUGCCCCUUAUGUCCAGGGCUUCACACAUGCUACAAUGGCUCAUACAGAGGGCUGCGAGACCGUGAGGUGGAGCGAAUCCCUUAAAGUGAGUCUCAGUUCGGAUCGGGGUCUGCAACUCGACCCCGUGAAGUUGGAGUCGCUAGUAAUCGCAGAUCAGCAUUGCUGCGGUGAAUA